UCGUCGGCGAUCUGCGGGCAGAUGAAGUGGACGUGCGCGUCCACGGCACCGGCCGUGAGGAUCCGCCCGUUGCCGGCGAUGAUCUCGGUCUCGGCGCCGAUGACGAGGUCCGGGUGCACCCCGUCCAUGGUGUCGGGGUUGCCCGCCUUGCCGAUGCCGGUGAUCCGGCCGUCGCGGAUACCGACGUCGGCCUUGACGAUGCCCCAGUGGUCGAUGAUCACGACGCCGGUGAUCACCGUGUCCGGGGUGCCCUCCACGCGCGUGGCGCGGGACUGCCCCAUGGACUCCCGGAUGA
rnacentral:sRNA from 1 species